UAAUAAGUGUUUUAUGGCACUUUUUGAAUCCAUAUCCACCUUGUGUGCAAUGUCGGUCGAUCUUCUUUUUUUUGAGGAUCGACCAAACAUCAACCUUUAUUUUUUAACUCUUGUCUGAAAAAUAUUAUGAAUAAACAAUUCAAAAUA
rnacentral:misc_RNA from 1 species